rnacentral:rRNA from 1 species
AACGAACGCUGGCGGCAGGCCUAACACAUGCAAGUCGAGCGAGUACUUCGGGUCUAGCGGCGGACUGGUGAGUAACGCGUGGGAAUGUGCCCUUCUCUACGGAAUAGCCCUGGGAAACUGGGAGUAAUACCGUAUACGCCCUAUUGUGGAAAGAUUUAUCGGAGAAGGAUCAUCCCGCGUUGGAUUAGGUAGUUGGUGGCGUAAUGGCCUACCACUCCGACGAUCCAUAGCUGGUUUGAGAGGAUGAUCAGACACACUGGGACUGAGACACGGCCCAGACUCGUACGGGAGGCAGCAGUGGGGAAUCCUAGAAAAUGGGGGCAAACAUGAUCGAGCCCUGACGCGUGAGUGAUGAAGGUCUUAGGGUUGUAAAGCUCUUUAAGCUGGGAAGAUAAUGACGGUACCAGCAGAAGAAGCCCCGGCUAACUCCGUG